AAUGAGCAAAGCCCAUACCGAAUAGUCAGCUAUAAAAGGCCCCGAUAAGACAAUGUAAAACAAUUCAAACAUGAAAACUAACGGCCUUAUUUAUGUAAAAAAAAAAUGAACGAAAAACAAAUAUGUAACACAUAAACAAACGAUAACCACUGAAUUACAGGCUCCUGACUUGGGACAGGGACAUACAUACAUAAUGUGGCGGGGUUAAACAUGUUAGCGGGAUCCCAACCCUUCCCCUAACCUGGGACAGUGGUAUAACAGUACAACAUAAGAACGAACUAUAAAAAUCAGU
rnacentral:lncRNA from 1 species